rnacentral:misc_RNA from 1 species
GAUGAAGAACGUAGUGAAAUGCGAUAAUUAAUGUGAAUUGCAGAAUUCCGUGAAUCAUCGAGUCUUUGAACGCACAUUGCGCCUCAUGGCAUUCCGUGAGGCAUGCCCAUCUCAGCGUUAGAAAAUAUUCUCAAAUUUUAGUUUUGUGCUAAAAUUUGGAUCAUGUCAAGGAAGCUAUUACUAUUAUUGUGAUCGCUCUUUGGAAAUUGAUAGGUCUUUGAGUUGCUACUCAUAGAACGUGAUGAAUCUUUCUUCGUUCUAUUGUAAUUCACUCUGGUAGGCCUAAAACUUGUAUGCCUGUGGCAUAUCUUGUAAUUUGACCUGAGAUUGGGUAGGGAUACCCGCUGAACUUAAGCAUAUCAAUAAGCGGAGGA